GAUGAACGCUGACGGCGUGCCUAAUACAUGCCAGUCGAGCGAACGGACGAGAAGCUUGCUUCUCUGAUGUUAGCGGCGGACGGGUGAGUAACACGUGGAUAACCUACCUAUAAGACUGGGAUAACUUCGGGAAACCGGAGCUAAUACCGGAUGAUAUUUUGAACCGCAUGGUUCAAAAGUGAAAGACGGUCUUGCUGUCACUUAUAGAUGGAUCCGCGCUGCAUUAGCUAGUUGGUAAGGUAACGGCUUACCAAGGCAACGAUGCAUAGCCGACCUGAGAGGGUGAUCGGCCACACUGGAACUGAGACACGGUCCAGACUCCUACGGGAGGCAGCAGUAGGGAAUCUUCCGCAAUGGGCGAAAGCCUGACGGAGCAACGCCGCGUGAGUGAUGAAGGUCUUCGGAUCGUAAAACUCUGUUAUUAGGGAAGAACAUAUGUGUAAGUAACUGUGCACAUCUUGACGGUACCUAAUCAGAAAGCCACGGCUAACUACGUG
rnacentral:rRNA from 1 species